rnacentral:rRNA from 1 species
GAUGAACGCUGGCGGCGUGCCUAAUACAUGCAAGUAGAACGCUGAAGCUUGGUGCUUGCACCGAGCGGAUGAGUUGCGAACGGGUGAGUAACGCGUAGGUAACCUGCCUCUUAGCGGGGGAUAACUAUUGGAAACGAUAGCUAAUACCGCAUAAAAGUCGAUAUCGCAUGAUAUUGACUUGAAAGGUGCAAUUGCAUCACUAAGAGAUGGACCUGCGUUGUAUUAGCUAGUUGGUGAGGUAACGGCUCACCAAGGCGACGAUACAUAGCCGACCUGAGAGGGUGAUCGGCCACACUGGGACUGAGACACGGCCCAGACUCCUACGGGAGGCAGCAGUAGGGAAUCUUCGGCAAUGGGGGCAACCCUGACCGAGCAACGCCGCGUGAGUGAAGAAGGUUUUCGGAUCGUAAAGCUCUGUUGUAAGAGAAGAACGAGUGUGAGAGUGGAAAGUUCACACUGUGACGGUAACUUACCAGAAAGGGACGGCUAACUACGUGCCAGCAGCCGCGGUAAUACGUAGGUCCCGAGCGUUAUCCGGAUUUAUUGGGCGUAAAGCGAGCGCAGGCGGUUAGAUAAGUCUGAAGUUAAAGGCUGUGGCUUAACCAUAGUACGCUUUGGAAACUGUUUAACUUGAGUGCAGAAGGGGAGAGUGGAAUUCCAUGUGUAGCGGUGAAAUGCGUAGAUAUAUGGAGGAACACCGGUGGCGAAAGCGGCUCUCUGGUCUGUAACUGACGCUGAGGCUCGAAAGCGUGGGGAGCGAACAGG